rnacentral:lncRNA from 1 species
UCCUCCCUUUCCUCUUCUUCACAAAAUUCCGUCCUUGCUCAGCCAUGGAAGAACUUGCCAUUACCAUUUUUGAAUAAGAAGCUCUGCACCUCAUUUAAUUUUCUUCAACACCAACGUUCAAAUUUCAAACGUUCAAUAGCUUCCCACUCAAUUUCAGAAUCCCGCCCAAAUCAAGAAACCAAGAAAUCAGCCUAUAAAUACUCGCAUCUGGAAGCAACUUUGGACCAUCUUUACCUGCUGCUACCAACCUGAAUAUUCACUUGCUCUUCGCUCAUUUUUACCUCUUUAAAGAAACUGCUCUACAAACUUAGCUUCUUGGCCUUUGUUGGUUUCUCAACAGAAACAGAGGCAUUUUGGUGUUUAUUCCGGUGUUUAAUGGCAGUUUGAGAUGGCGCUUUUGUGGUCGGAGUUGGGUAGAUCCAAAGCUAGCGGCUUAGUUCACUGCCCUGAAAUAGGUCAGUAUCUUUCUCCUUUUUUUUUUCUGUUGUCUUAUUAAAGUAUGUUGACAAUUUAGCAUGUGUGUUUGAAGUAGUGUUAUUUUUGGUUUGUGUCUCACCUUUUUUUCCAUAUCACAAGAAUAGGUGUUGAACUACACCUCUCUGUCGAUCCGAAAUGAUGUAUAAAUAAACAUGAAUUUCUGACAUAUUUAGUUGUUGGUUCACUUUUCUUUGAAGAAAUACCAUACUUCUGCAUCUUUAGUUAAAGUUGAGGAAAAUGUGCUUAUUCUCAUAUUUGUUGUUUUGAAAGAUUAGACCAUUCUAGUUUUGAAGAUUGAUGGAAAAUAUAAUGGUAGUUUCAAACUCGCGAUUAAAAUAAGAAAUUUUAUUUAGUCAAGCUUUUCACGGCAAUACCAUAAAUUAUGCUAAUAAGUGAGAAUCGAUAGUUUAAUCUAAUUAUUUUAGCAAUGUGCAUCUUAAGUUUAAUCAGUAGUUUAGUCAUUAAGUAUGCAUAAAAGAGUGGAUCUAUUCUGUUGGAAAAUUAUUCUCUUUGUUGUCCUAUUGCGCAUGAUAGAAAAAUAUCUUUAUAGGAUUUAUUGAUUGUGCAAUUCAAUAUCUAUUUACCUAUAUAUGACAUAUUCUAAAAUCUAAUUUUCAAGUUAAGGUUGUGGUAGGUUUGUCAUUGCUGAUUUAAGUUUAAAACAGUGGAAACCAUGAAUAUAGUAUAUUUUUGUCUCACAUUGUACUUUCUUUUACGCCUUAAACGUCUGUUUAUAGGAUAUUUUCAAUAUUUGUUUUUAAAAAAAAUAAAAGAAUAGCUGGAAAAACUUUUCACUUCGUAAAAUAGUGAAUCAAGGUUACAAAGACAAAUAGACAACCCAUUUAUGAAUGUGCUGAUUAGACUAACUAUUGUUUGUUUAUCCAAGUAACAAGAAAUUGUUAUGAAAUAAUAUAAUAACAAGAAAAAUAAUACAAGAACAAGAACAAUAGAGAGAAAAAGUAGAGAGAGGAGUAUUCUUAUUG